rnacentral:rRNA from 1 species
ACCACAACGGUGGAGCUUGCGGUUUAAUUGGAUUCAACGCCGGAAAUCUUACCGGGACCGACAGCAAUAUGAAGGCCAGGCUGAAGACUUUGCCGGAUUAGCUGAGAGGUGGUGCAUGGCCGUCGUCAGUUCGUACUGUGAAGCAUCCUGUUAAGUCAGGCAACGAGCGAGACCCACGCCCACAGUUGCCAGCGUACUCUCCGGAGUGACGGGUACACUGUGGGGACCGCCGCUGCUAAAGCGGAGGAAGGAAUGGGCAACGGUAGGUCAGUAUGCCCCGAAUAUCCCGGGCUACACGCGAGCUACAAUGGUUGGUACAAUGGGUAUCUACCCCGAAAGGGGACGGGAAUCUCCUAAAACCAAUCUUAGUUCGGAUUGAGGGCUGCAACUCGCCCUCAUGAAGCUGGAAUCCGUAGUAAUCGCGUUUCAACAGAACGCGGUGAAUACGUCCCUGCUCCUU